rnacentral:rRNA from 1 species
CUUUUCUUGUUAGUUUUUGAAGUAUGGCCUGCCCGCUGACUUGAGUGUUGAAGGGCCGCGGUAUUUUGACCGUGCAAAGGUAGCAUAAUCAUUAGUUCUUUAAUUGUGAUCUGGAAUGAAUGGCUUGACGAGGCACAAGCUGUCUUAAUGUUGAAUGUUUUAUUGAAUUUGGUUUUUGAGUUAAAAUUCUUAGAUGUUUUUGUGGGACGAGAAGACCCUAUAGAGUUUAACAUUUGGUUUAUUUGUUUGUUUGUUGUUUGUUUGUUUUAUUGGUGGGUGGACUUUUUGUUUUGUUGGGGUGAUGGGAGGAAUAUAAUUAACUCCUCUUGAUUUUGGUUAUAUUGAUUUAUAUUUAUUUGAUCC